rnacentral:rRNA from 1 species
CUCUUUUUGAUUAUAAUUUAAAGUAGGGCCUGCCCACUGAAAUUUUGAAGGGCCGCAGUAUUUUGACUGUGCAAAGGUAGCAUAAUCAUUAGUUUUUUAAUUGAAAGCUUGUAUGAAUGGUUUGAUGAGAAAAUUUCUGUCUCAAUUUUAAUUUUUUAAAACUUUAUUUUUAAGUUAAAAAGCUUAAAUAUUUUUAAAAGACGAGAAGACCCUAUAGAGUUUAAUUUAAAAUGAUUUUAUUAAUUUUAGAAUUUAUUUUUUUUAAUAUUGUUUUAAAUUGGGUUGGGGUGACUAAAAAAUUAAAUAAACUUUUUUUUUAUUUUAACAUUAAUAUAUGAAUAAUUGAUCCAUAAAAAUGAUUAAAAGAUUAAAUUACCUUAGGGAUAACAGCGUAAUUUUUUUUUAGAGUUCUUAUUGAAAGAAAAGAUUGCGACCUCGAUGUUGGAUUAAAAUUUAUUUUUGGUGUAGAAGCUAAAAAAUUAGGUCUGUUCGACCUUUGAAAUUUUACA